GAUGAACGCUGGCGGCGUGCCUAAUACGUGCAAGUCGAGCGAACAGACGAGGAGCUUGCUCCUCUGACGUUAGCGGCGGACGGGUGAGUAACACGUGGAUAACCUACCUAUAAGACUGGGAUAACUUCGGGAAACCGGAGCUAAUACCGGAUAAUAUAUUGAACCGCAUGGUUCAAUAGUGAAAGACGGUUUUGCUGUCACUUAUAGAUGGAUCCGCGCCGCAUUAGCUAGUUGGUAAGGUAACGGCUUACCAAGGCGACGAUGCGUAGCCGACCUGAGAGGGUGAGCGGCCACACUGGAACUGAGGCACGGUCCAGACUCCUACGGGAGGCAGCAGUAGGGGAUCUUCCGCGAUGGGCGAAAGCCUGACGGAGCAACGCCGCGUGAGUGAUGAAGGUCUUCGGAUCGUAAAACUCUGGUAUUAGGGAAGAACAAAUGUGUAAGUAACUAUGCACGUCUUGACGGUACCUAAUCAGAAAGCCACGGCUAACUACGUG
rnacentral:rRNA from 1 species